UACGAAGGGGGGCAAGCGUUGUUCGGAUUUACUGGGCGUAAAGGGCGCGCAGGCGGCUCUUCAAGUCAGAUGUGAAAGCCCCGGGCUCAACCUGGGAACUGCAUUUGAGACUGAAGAACUCGAGUUCGGGAGAGGAUGGCGGAAUUCCCAGUGUAGAGGUGAAAUUCGUAGAUAUUGGGAAGAACACCGGUGGCGAAGGCGGCCAUCUGGACCGAGACUGACGCUGAGGCGCGAAAGCGUGGGGAGCAAACGGG
rnacentral:rRNA from 1 species